rnacentral:lncRNA from 1 species
AGUGAAAUCAGUUCUCAUAUGGAAACUCCAAGAGCCUUGUCCUAUUGGUAACCAGUGUAUGCUACACUCUGUGUGGUUGUCAUUUCUGUGGAAGCUGAGUCUACCAGUACAGUUGGUUAAAGAUUGUUGAAUGAAGAAAGAUUCUUUGUGAAUUUGCCACAGGCAAAAGGCAGAGAGAGAUCAGGAAAUGCACCUACAAAGCUGCAGUUUGAUAAAUGGCUAAUGAGGACUCCAUGGUUUCCUCCUGAAUAUAGAUAGGGACACCUUAAAGGAAGGAGUUAGGGAGAAGGGGAAGGAAUUUGUAUAAAGUACUCUAUUCAUUAUAGGUGCUAUGGGUGGAGUCGUAAAAGAAACAAAGACACUGAUUUCUUUUUUAGUUGGAAAGUCAGAUACUAAGAAAAAUAAGAAAGUUGCAUUAUGAUGUGUUAUGAAGACAAAGCAGGCAAAGAAAUGAUGUGCUUGUCACUGUAGGUUUUUAGGAGAGGACUCUGGCGAGAACAAUGGGAGACCAUGAUGAGAAUGUGGGCAUCUGGGGAAGAGGCCCCAUUCCUCUGUGAAGGAAACAUUCCUGGUGUUCCAGGAACAGGAAGAAACCUAGUGUGACCAGAGAGCAGGAAAAGGAAAAGAGGUCCGUGAGGUCUGAGAAGGGUCAAGUUGGGAGCCAGGUUAUGCCAGGCCUCACAGAACUUUGAGAACCACUGGAACAAUUUUAGUAGAGAAAUUCAUUUUGUAAAAGGAUUAUCUUAGCUGCUAUGUGAAGAGUGGAUGAAAGGUGGCAAAGGUGGAAGACUGGUUAGGUUUUUGCACAUGUGAGGGAUGGUUAUGGCUUAACAAUGGUGUUAGUAACAGAAAUAGAAAUCAGUGGAUUCUGGACAUAUUUUUCAAGGUAUUACCAAAAGGAUUUUCUAAUUGACUGGAUGUGGGGUAUGAGAGAAUGUGACCGGAAGGUUCCUAGCCUGGCUACUAGAAAGAUUAGAAUUGUUAGUAUCUGAGAAAGGGAAGAUGGAAAAGAAGAGAUUCUAUGUAUCUGAGAUGGACAUGUUAAUUCUGGUGAGACAUCCAGGUGGGGAUUCAGGCAGUUAGAUGUGCAAGCCCAGCAGUAUGGAUGAGGUCUGAGAGAAUAUAAAUUUUAGACUCAACAUUAUGUAGAUUCAUUUGAAAGUAUUAGGAUGUGGGGAAAAAAAUCACCAAAGAAGGGAUAUAGAUAGAAAAGAGGACAUAUAACCAGCUCAUUUCCAUCUUCUUGAAAGAGAUUUCCUUGAAUGUUGGUGCAGUGGUACAUGCCUGUUAUCCCAGUUACUUGGAAUGCUGAGGCAGGGGCACCACAAGUUUGAGGCCAGCCCCUGCAGCUUAGGAAGAUUCCGUCACAAAAUGGAUAUAGCUCAGUGGUAGAGUGUUAGCAUGCAUGAGGCCAUGGGUUCAUCCCCAGUACUGGAGGGAAAAUGUAUAUACUAAGAGGUGACCUUGAAUAUGUUAUGUCUAUGGAUGUAAUUGUUCAGAGCAUUUUUGGAAUUUGUUGAAAUUGCUUCUUUCCUCCAAAAGAAUAUGGUUUUGAUGGUGGCAAGUAAUUAUCAUUUGUAAAAUAGAUUUAAUUUUAGGGAGCCACAAAUCAUGUUCAUCCGAAUAUGAAAUUUAGUAGUGUGGCUAAUAAGCCUAAGCAAUAUCAUUUUUUACAGUGAAAUAUAACUAGCCAGGCAUGAUGGCAGACCCCUGUAAUCCCAGCUACUCAGGAAGCUGAGGCAGGAACAUUGUAAGUUAAAGUACGUAACUUUAUUUUGACCUUGUUUCA